CGCGGUGGCGGCGUCGGCCAACAUUCUUAUCAUUAUUAUUACUACUAUUAUUACCAUUACUAUUAUUAUUAUUAUUAUUAUUAUUAUUAUUAUUAUCGCCGUCGGCUAACGAUCCGCGGCGGUGGCGGCUACGACGAGGGACGUCGUUUUUUAACGACGCGCACGAUGAUUUUUUUUUAUUUUUAUUAUUAUUAUUGUUGUUACUAUUUUUUAAUUUUGUUUUUUUUUUUUUUGUUUUGUAAAGAAUUCGCCCGGCCGAAACCGAAUCGAAUGACUCUACACAGAGACUCGGUAUUCGGCGGCGAUGACGUUCCCGUUUUUCUUUUUUCUGUUUUCUUUCUUUUUUUUUUUUUUUAUUACUAUUAUCUUUUGCCGUCAACAACGUCUUCGGUGAGGAGGGGACGAGAUACGGAGAAUCCCACGAAGAAAUCGGUUUUCCGUACGAUUGCACGUUUUCUAUAUAGAAACAGGUACACGCGAUGGGAACUAACCACCGCGGGUACGAUGUUUUUCUAUACAGGUACUUAAUAGUUAAUAAUAAUUGUUUUCGACGCGCGUUUUUUAUCCGUUGAUACCUAUAGAUUUGUAUUGGUAUUACGCAAACGCGUAUUGUUUCACCUCGACUUUCUCGCGCGCGGUUCUUCUUUACGGGUUUUUUUUUUAAAUUUUUUAUGUCAACUCACGUAUAAUAAUAAAACACUACAAAAUCCCGCGACUUCGUACGAUUUCCCGCUUAUUAUUCGGGAAUAGUAAUUUAAUGACGACGGACGCGCGUAAAAUUACCCGAACAAUACUAUUAUUUUUACGGACCUACACUUAAAGUAAUUUCUUCGGUCCCGUGGUAAAGAAACGCGUAAGUCUCGAUUUUGUACGUUUGGUUUUCGAUACAAAUGCGAAUUAUACUUUGACAAUCGUUAAAUCGCUAAACAGCCGUCGUCUGAAUUGCCGUUCUAAUUGUGUGGCUAUUGUGCGUGUUUUUACGAAACAAAAAGUUCAUCGUAGUGACUCGAGGUAUUUUUAUGUUCAGUAAAACGUGUACUACGUAGAACAUGGUAUACGCAAUAAACGCUCGUGCCGUUUGGACCGAAAUAACACGGGGAAAAAAUUGCACGGGAAAUAAACGAAACGCAAAAUUCGCUUGCGCCCGUCUUCCGCGGGACCAAACGUUUGGUUGAAAUUGUUGUUCAAGUAAUGAAAAUAUUAAAAAAAAGUAGUACCGUUCUUUUAUAAAAAAAAAAAAAAAAAUGUAUAAUAGGUCCUAACCGGAGAGUCGCGGCAAUCGUAAAAAUGCGGAAUGACGGCUUUGUUGCCGCAUAUAAUUACGCCGCGACAAAGACGAACAAACGUUACAGCGACGAGGCCCUUUAAAAUGUGUUUUACGGUUUAAUUGCAGUUGUUGUAUAAGUUUAUAACACACCUUGUGUUGCGUAUGUUUAAGGGGUCGCGUGUAAGCAAUUUUUAACGAAAACUCGACGUUUCGUAAUAUUUCACGCCGUGCGAACGCGUCGUUGGUGGGGAAGGGAGGGAGAGCCGUAUUUUCUUUGAAGCGAAUAAUUUUCAACAUUCCCGACGGUUUGUCUAAAAAAUGACGAU
rnacentral:lncRNA from 1 species